GCACCUUUAGCUCAGUUGGCAGAGCAACUGACUCUUAAUCAGUGGGUCCAGGGUUCGAAUCCCUGAAGGUGCACCA
rnacentral:tRNA from 2 species